rnacentral:misc_RNA from 1 species
GUGAGAAUGUUUAUGGAACAGUGCAAUAUUUGUGAUUACACAUGCACCUAUAUGAUAUAGGGUAGGUCUCUACUGCCUUAGCAAGAGAGGCACAUACUGAGCUAACUAUUACUAAUCCGCAAAGCGUACAUGAUCCACAAGCAUGCAAGCAGUCUGGCAACCUUGACCCUGCGAUUUGAAGUGGAACUUCCCUUCCUUGCUUCUUUAUUUUCUUCUCCUCCACCUCCUCCUCUGCGUUUGAGGUUGGUGUCCCCAUGGUGCCUCUACUCUCUCCUGUUCUUGGCCAGGCAGGAUGUUACUCCUGAUCACCAUUAGCAUUACUUGUAAAUUGUAACAGUCUUAAUUUAUAAAAGAGA